AACGAACGCUGGCGGCAGGCUUAACACAUGCAAGUCGAACGCCCCGCAAGGGGAGUGGCAGACGGGUGAGUAACGCGUGGGAAUCUACCCAGUUCUACGGAAUAACCCAGGGAAACUUGGACUAAUACCGUAUACGCCCUACGGGGGAAAGAUUUAUCGGAAUUGGAUGAGCCCGCGUUGGAUUAGCUAGUUGGUGGGGUAAUGGCCUACCAAGGCGACGAUCCAUAGCUGGUCUGAGAGGAUGAUCAGCCACACUGGGACUGAGACACGGCCCAGACUCCUACGGGAGGCAGCAGUGGGGAAUAUUGGACAAUGGGCGCAAGCCUGAUCCAGCCAUGCCGCGUGAGUGAUGAAGGCCUUAGGGUUGUAAAGCUCUUUCAGUGGGGAAGAUAAUGACGGUACCCACAGAAGAAGCCCCGGCUAACUUCGUGCCAGCAGCCGCCGUAAGAC
rnacentral:rRNA from 1 species